GACGAACGCUGGCGGCGUGCUUAACACAUGCAAGUCGAACGGAAAGGCCCUGCUUUUGUGGGGUGCUCGAGUGGCGAACGGGUGAGUAACACGUGAGUAACCUGCCCUUGACUUUGGGAUAACUUCAGGAAACUGGGGCUAAUACCGGAUAGGAGCUCCUGCUGCAUGGUGGGGGUUGGAAAGUUUCGGCGGUUGGGGAUGGACUCGCGGCUUAUCAGCUUGUUGGUGGGGGAGUGGCUUACCAAGGCUUUGACGGGUAGCCGGCCUGGGAGGGUGACCGGUGACAUUGGGACUGAGAUACGGCCCAGACUCCUACGGGAGGCAGCAGUGGGGAAUAUUGCACAAUGGGCGGAAGCCUGAUGCAGCAACGCCGCGUGCGGGAUGACGGCCUUCGGGUUGUAAACCGCUUUCGCCUGUGACGAAGCGUGAGUGACGGUAAUGGGUAAAGAAGCACCGGCUAACUACGUG
rnacentral:rRNA from 1 species